rnacentral:rRNA from 1 species
UACAGAGGGUGCGAGCGUUGUCCGGAAUUACUGGGCGUAAAGAGCUCGUAGGUGGUUUGUCGCGUUGUCCGUGAAAACUCACAGCUCAACUGUGGGCGUGCGGGCGAUACGGGCAGACUGGAGUACUGCAGGGGAGACUGGAAUUCCUGGUGUAGCGGUGGAAUGCGCAGAUAUCAGGAGGAACACCGGUGGCGAAGGCGGGUCUCUGGGCAGUAACUGACGCUGAGGCGCGAAAGCUAGGGGAGCAAACAGG